CAGUUAAGAUACAGAGCAACCACAAACUAUUUUUUGCAAGCAUUUCAUCUUCUCUGUGUUUAGCUGACUUCUCCCAUAGUGAAUUAUAAAACCAGGAUCCCAGAAAUACAAGUUAUACAAAUCAUAUGGCUCUCCUGAUGAAUCGAAUGGAUGAAAAGCUCAAGAACAUGGUCACCCAACUUGUCUGUGUACCCUGAUUGUCU
rnacentral:lncRNA from 1 species